ACACCUGUGUGUCAGUUCUCCUGGGAGACCAGUUCUCUCCAUGAGGAAUUUGGUUAUGGAGAGCUGUGAUACAGGGUCAGCUCUGGGAUGCAGAAAAAGACCAGAAGGAUCCUGUUCCCAGCUGACUCUUGGUUCCUGUGUCUUGAUGGCUUUGUAAGGGUCCCUCUUGGGCCAGGAAUUUGAAGAGAAGUGGUGAUCUUACCUGUGCUCACAGUUGUUUAGGUACUCCUGGGAGACCUGGAGUAUUUGUGUAUUUAGCUCUGUGGCACAGUAUCAACUCUGGGUGCAAACAGAGACUGGAAGACUCCCGUCCCAGGCUGCCCCUUGGUUCCUGUGUCCUGAGUGUUUUAGAAGUGGAUAACAAUACUGAAGAGAAGUCUUUGUCCAGGCUCCCUGACAAACCUGACCCUGAUAUUCCUGGGCCAACAAUAGAGGACAACGACAGUAUUUCUAUUAUAAAGGCCUGUGAGUGCAGGUGGGACCACCACUGCUGCUCAGAGGAGCCCGCCCUGAAUCCUCAGGACACAGGGACCAAGGGGCAUCAUGGAACAGGAGCCUUCCUGCUCAGAGAAGCCUGCCCUGAAUCCUCAGGACACAAGAAACUAGGGGCGGCCUGGAACCUGAGCAUCCCAGUUUCUGUCUCCCAAUCUGCUACAAUGCUCCAUACCCAAAUAGCUCCAGGAGGGAGCGAGCCUCCCAACAGUGCGGGCAGGCCUGUGAGAGCACGUAGGACCACCACUGCUACUCAGAGGAACCCUCCCAGAACCCUCAGGACACAGGAACUGAGGGGGUGCCUGGGACAGGAGUCUUCUGGUUUCUGACUGUGCCCAGAGUUGAUACUAUUCCACAGAGCUACAUAUACAAAUUAUGCCAAGAGAGAGCUGGUUUCCCAGGAGUGCCUAGACACCUGCCAGCAGAGAAAAUAUCUAAAGACCCAGAAAUGAAUAUAAAUAACACUGAGUCUAUCUCUACAAAAACUUCAACGAGUUUUUUACAUCAGAACAUGUUGGUCAGAAGAAGUGUAGAGAAAAGAGUUCAAAAACUUUUAGGAAGAAGUGAAGCUAAUGUUUGUUCUCAGGAAGUGCCACUACCUAUUACCUCUGAAGGACAAACACCCAUAAAGCCUCCAUCUGAGGACGCAAAUGAAGAAAAAUGGGCCCAACAAGUUGCAACACAGUAUUUAUUUCUUAACCAGUACCUCAAGGAAAGAUUAAAGGAGAGGAUGAAAGAAGGUACUGACAACUCUGAAUCUGAAGCUUCUGAUGAAGAGCCAUUACCUAGUUCUACCUCUGCAGGAAGAACACACUCAAUGAAAAUGACAGAGAAAAAGAAGAAACAUGAAAGAAAAGAUGCAUACAUGCAUUCAAGACAUUCUUCAGUUAAGAGGAAUGAUGACAUAAAGAAGCAAGUUGACUGGCACCAUGAGCAACUGAAGGAACUCCUCAAAAAUGACAUAAAGGAAAUACUGAAGGAGCAAUUGGCUACAGAGCAUGCAAGGAUGAGGAAACUCCUUAGAAAGGAUGCGAAGAAAAUUAGUGAACUAAUCAGGAAUGAAUUAACGCAAAUAUACGCUGAGCAGGUGGCUCUUCUUCAAGCACAGAGAACAUCUCUACAACAAAAAGUAAAGAAAAAAUACAAAAGAGACCAUGACAGUUCCCCUUCACAUUCAGAAGAGCCCUUGAUGCAAACUGAUGAGGGCAGGCAGAGUGAAUCCCAUUGUACGCCUCUAAAAGAAUUCAUCAAAGAAGAAUUAAAAGAAGCAUUUUGUGAAAUAUUUGAAAGAAAUAAAUAUGAUACCUGUUUGAAGAAAGAACUACCUCAUAUCUCUAAAGAAAGAAAACAGCUAAGGAAAAUCCCUAAGGAACGAACACUAAAGAAUCAAUAUGACAGCAAAUCCCUACGGCCUGGGAAGCAGGCUGCUGCCAGGACAGCAAAGGAAGUAGAGCGUGUGCACAGUGAAUUGCAGUGUGUACAUCUCAGAGAAGACAUUAAAAAAGAGUUCAAAGUGAAAAUUUGUGAAGUGCAAAGUAAUAUUUGUCCUAAGGAAGAAGGACUACAUCAUAUUUUUAAAGGAAAAACAAGAAUAAUGAAAGUAUCUCAAGAACAAGACAUGGAGAAGGAAUUCAAUGUUGAAUAUGCAUCUUUCCGGUCACAGCCUUCUAUGAGAACAAAUGAGGCAACAGUAGGCAAGCAGAAUGCACAGCAGUACAAACAUCUGAAGGAAUACUUCCGAAAAGAUUUAAAGGAGAUGGCUCAUGAACAAUUUGAAAAUUCUGAAGUUAUUCUUUAUUCUAAGGAAGAGUUGCCACCUGAUGACUCUAGAAGAGUAAAGCACAUAAAGGUUGAAGAAAAGAAGACAGGGUAUUUGUAUGCACCCAAUUUUAGCUCUUUCGAGCAUAGACUUGCUGCCUUGAGGGCUACUGCACACGUUGAGCCAGCUCCUGCUGCCUGCACUGGUGGUGCAGGUGACAUGGGUGCCAUGGACAAAGCUCAGAAGACUGACCUGGCUCUCCCACUUGCUUUAGCUCUUCAAACUGAGCACCUAAGGGGCCAACAACACUUUAACCCUGAGCCUGCUCCUGAGCACUGCUCUCAUGAGACCACUGACCCUGAUCACAAUGCUGACUUUGCUCUUGACUCUUGUCUUCUUGCUCAAGGCAAGGGUGACAGGCUCAGUAUUGAUCCUGAAUCUGCUCCUCUUUGUGGCCCCUGUGACAUGGAGGACCCUUCAACUGACCACUCCAGCCAAGGCAUAAACACCAACACCAGGCGUGCUCCUGUUCGUGGCAGAGGUGAUACCACUGAUCAUGAUAAUGGCACAGAUCUGGCUUCUACCCUUCCUGUUGUUGUUGAUUAAGGAGAUGGUUGAUACACCGAAUUCUACAAGGGUGGUCUGAGGAAUCUAACCAAGAAGAUUUUUACCAGUAAGAAAACUGAUGAUCAGGUUAAGUUACCAGACAAACAAUGGUUUAAAAUAGAAGAUGAUUUCUGUUCUAGAAAACUAAAUUUUCUUUUGGUGCUAAUACUUAUGGUUAAUAAAUUCCAUGCUUCA
rnacentral:lncRNA from 1 species